rnacentral:lncRNA from 10 species
UUUUUGAGACGGAGUCUUGCUCUUGUUGCCCAGGCUGGAGUGCAAUGGUGCAAUCUCGGCUCAUGGCAACCUCCACCUCCCGGGGAAGUUUAUUACGUAGCAGGAGAUAACUAAAAGAAAGUGCAUUUUGUUACAUUUUGUUGGCUGAUGGGUACAUUGUCAACAAAGCUGUGCCGGGAUUGCAGCAGUUUGAGCAGGGAGGGUGUGGGGUGGGACCUACUGCAUAAACAGAGAUUUUAUUAGUGGAUAGUUCUCUGAAUAUAGCCUUGAAACUGUAACCACCCAACGGGUUCUUCUUGCCUGACAGCCGAUUUAUCAGGACAGGAGAAUUGCAAUAGAGUCUAGUGCAUCCAGAGCCAGCUAGCAGGAGACUGGAGUUUUAUUAUUACUCAAAUCAGCCUCCCUGAAAAUUUGGAAACUGGAGUUUUUUAAAAGAUAGUUUGGCAGGCAGGGGGCUAGGGAGUGGGGAGUGCUGGCUGGUUGGUCGGGGAUGAAAUCACAGGGGCUGAAGCUGUCCUCCUGCACCGAGUCGGUUCCUGUGAGGGCCACAGACCGGAAGAGCUAGUUUACCCGUCUGGGUGGUGCCAGCGGAGCCGUCAGAACGCAGGGUCUGAAGAACCUCUCCAGCAUCAAUCUUAGGUCCUACGGCGGUGACGUCAUCCACAGGAGCGGCUGGGAAGGGUCCUGUGGGCCUACGAUGGUGACGUCAUCUACAGGCGCGGCUGGGGCGGUAUCCUGUGGUCUUACUGUGGUGACGUCAUCUACAGGAGCGGCUGGGGCGGUGACUUGUGGUCUUACGGCGGUGACGUCAUAUACAGGAGCGGCUGGGAAGGGUCCUGUGGUCUUACGAUGGUGACGUCAUCUACAGGCGCGGCUGGGGCGGUGUCCUGUGGUCUUACGGCGGUGACGUCAUAUACAGGAGCGGCUGGGGAGGAGUCCUGUGGCGUCUGGCUGCGUGAAUCCUGAGCCGGAAUUCCUAAUCCUGCUGUUAUUUGUCGGUUUUACAACGGGACUGGUCCCCCCAAGCGAGGAGGGAAUCUGUUUUGGGGAGGGGCUGUUAUCCUUUUUGUUCCCAACUUAAACUGUAAACUAAGUUCCUGUCAAAGUUAGUUUGGCCCACGCUCAGGAAGCAGCCGGGCGGGUUGGGGUGGAGGCAGGUGGAGCGGGUCAGGUUGGCCUCUGCCACUGUCGUGAUUCCUCACUACUACCGUCUUAGCAAAGGCGGUUUCAGAACAGGGAGGGCUGAGGCCAGGAGCACGCCGGUGGCGGAGCCUCUGCGCCUGCUGUUCAUUAGCGGAUUUUGGAGGAGCCAGGGGAGUGUAGUCCCUUCAGGAGGCGGCGGAGGGAGGUGGGAGGUGUUUGGGGAGCUGGCAGGUGGGCUGGGGCCGAGCUCACAGCCUUCCUUGCAGGGGGAGUGGGGCCUCGGGAUCUGAGAGCUCCUCCCCGCGGCCCUUCCCUCCUUUCUUAAGGGCCUAGAGUGGGUGGAGGGUGGUGCUGGCUGGCAGAGUGGGGGUGGGGGCAGCGAAUGAGGGGCAAGUGUUUGCGUCCUCUCAGGCCUGGGGGCUAGUGCCACAUGGAAGUGAAUGCUCUCUGUCAGCAGGUCGGGGUAACUGGCAUAACUGCGUUGUAAUUACAGGAAAAUUGCUCAUUAAUAACUGUGUUAGCGAGGCAGGGCGGAGGCAGAUGGCCAGGGCAGAUGCAGUGGGGCUGGGGGUUUCGGGGGUGGGGGUGCUGGGCUGAGCCUGGAGAUGGGGGCGGAGCCCUGGGGUGGAGGAGAAGAUGGUGUUUGGCUGGGCCCGGGCCAGGAAGUGGUUUUGCAGAGGUGUUUCUGCUAAAACGUUCUCCGUGCCCGGCAGCCAAGGCUGCAGAGUAGGAACUAGGCCUUCUGCUUCUGCUCGCGCGCAAGGCUGCCACACUGAGAGACCGGCGUUGGGCCUGCACCCGGUUCCCCCUUCUGCAGAGGCUCCGGGCCUGCCUGCUGUGGGGCAGAUGGUGAUAAAGGAGAAAUGAGAGAAGCCUCAGAAUACCAAACCGAUCCCACUACCAACGCGGGGGACUGGGGUGGGGGCGAGGGAAACGCAGCCUUGGCCGGCGGGGGGUGAAAGUGAUGUGGGUUGGAGAGAGAAGAGACCCCUCCCCACCCCACAGCGGUUCAGAGACAAGGCGGGAGGAGUGACGGGGGCUUCUGUAUGCCUGCAAAACACCCCCAUUUGUGCCCCUUUAAAAGAUUCUAGUAAAAAUAUAAAUCACGGAGGACUUCUGUUUCUGGCCAAAAUGGAGUGAAAAGGACUGGAUUCGCUCUCCCAUUUGAAAACACAGAAGAGGUGCUUCCGGACAUCGGGCACCAGGUUGGAAAGGACGAGAAUCCCUGAGAAAGACACAGACAAGGCGGGGCUCACAGUUUCCUAGCCCCGGCCUCCAGCGUUGCUCCAGGCUGCAUUCAGGGCGGGGCCCGGUGGAGCCCAGCAGACCCCCUGGGACAGGGGAGACAGAGGGCUCCGGGAGGCCCAGAGGGUUAAAGUUCCCAGGACAGGGCAUGGAGGGGAGCGUUCAGAAGAGCCCCAACCCAGCUUGGGAGGAAGCCGCCGGAGGCCAGGGGCAACACUGUCAGAGAGCGUCCGGCCCUACACCAGCAGCCCACAGUGCCCGUCCCCCAGCCUGGAGGCCUCCCGAGGGUGGCGGUGGCAUCUCACAAGGGUCUUGCUCCCCAAAGAGGGAUAAUUAGUGUGGACAAAAUGGGCAGAACAUUCGGCCCUGACGGCCACUUUAAAAUAAGACCUGAGAGGCCAAACCUUUUCCAUGUAACUGAACCGCACGCCAGAAAAAGGUGCAGGAAUGUUUCCACAUAAACACAAACAUCCACACCCAACAAAGGCGAUGUUAACAAUGUCUGCCAUCGAUUCAAAGAUUACAUUCGGGGAAGCAGGAAAACCCACCCGUAAGGGGAGGAAAAAUCCACUGCGAAAUCCUGGUCAGAACUAACACAAGUGUUAGAAUCGCCAGACAGACACUGACAGUCAUCCUGACUGCAUUCCCUGUGUUGAAAGAGCUAAGUAGAAACAUAGACCAUUUAAAAAUAUGCAAACCAAACUUCUAGAAAUCAAGGCUACAAUGGAUGGGGUUCACAGACCACACAUGGAGGAAAAGGUGAAUGAUCUUAAAGACAGAGCCAACGAUACAGCACCGUAUAAAACAGGAAACAUAAUAGAGUAAGUUAAAAGAGCAUCCUGCGUGAGUUGCAGGUUCCAGGGGCCCGGCACCCCCGUGAGUGUAAGAGUACCCCACGCACAACCGUAAUACGUAUGGGGGUCCCUGAAGAAGAGCCGACCAUGGAGACACUGAAAAGAUAUGAAAAAAUCAUGACUCCAAAAUUUCCAAAUCUGACGCCAACUGUGAACUCACAGAUGAUAGAAGCUCAACAAGCCUCAAGGACAUGAAAGGCGAAGAAAUGGGACAGAGGCCCAUGGAAGCCAGAGUGCCCGGCCAGCCACAGAAGGUCCCUUUCCAGGUCACCGGAGGAAAACACACGCUCUCAUUUCUCCUGAGGAGCAACGCGAGUGAACCCACGCAAGGGCAGCGUCGUAAGAAGAAACCUGUCAGCAAGAACAUCUCUCAGAGACAAAGGUGGAACGAGUGUCUCCGGAGGUAAUGCCUGAAAGAGCAGUGGUGAGCGGACCCGCUGUGGGGCACGGGCGUGUCCUCCCGGCAGGAGCAGCGCAGAUGUGGGACGACAGACGCGGAGCCCCCGGAACAGCCACGGCGUGGUGAAUUAGAUACCUGAGAUUUGACAAAUGGAUGAAGUAUCCGUCGAAGGUAAUUGACUGUUUAAACAAAAUAUUCACAGUGCACUGUGGGUUUUUUUUUUUUCGGGGCGGAGUCUUGCUCUGUCCCCCAGGCUGGAGUGCAGUGGCGCGAUCUCGGCUCACUGCAAGCUUCACCUCCCGGGUUCACGCCAUUCUCCUGCCUCAGCCUCCCGAGUAGCUGGGACUACAGGCGCCCGCCACCACACCAGCUAAUUUUUUGUAUUUCUAGUAGAGAUGGGGUUUCACCAUGUUAGCCAAGAUGGUCUCGAUCUCCUGACCUUGUGAUCCGCCCGCCUCGGCCUCCCAAAGUGCUGGGAUUACAGGCAUGAGCCACUGCGCCCGGCCUGCACUGUGGGUUUUAAAACACGCAUAGAGUGUGGCAGCCAUGGUGCCCAGGCCAUGCAGAGAGACAUGGGGACGUGGGAAGGUUCUUGUAUCACCGUGGAGUGGUGGGUUUCACCUGCAGGAGCCGGGGGUCCACGGGGACGUGCACUGUAGACCCCAGAGCAGCCGUGGCACCGACGUCCUUGCGGGUUGUUCAGAGACGCCAGAGUGUGGGGGGAUUCAGUGACUUGGGGUCUCAUGGGCUCGUUGGCUGAUUUCUGUCUGGAGCACGCGCCGGCUCUCUCCCAUUUUCUACUCCGUUGAGACCAAAUUAAAAUGGAACCGGCCACAAAGCAAGUGGGGCUUCGUGUCCACUUCUCCGAGGCUGGGGCCGGGGGCAUCGCCUUCCUGGGAGUGCAGAGGAACGCGGGCAGAGUGUGUGCCAUGGCCUUGGCCAGAGGCGAUGGAGCCAACGCAGGAGGCUGCACCUGCCUUCCCCGAAGUCCACCGACACCUGUGAGGAACCAGAGAGGAGACGAGAGCUUCAUCCAGUGCGGCUGCGAACAGCCGGGAUUCCACCGAGGCAGGAGGAGAUGUCGCGGUUCCUGAAUCUGAAAUGGACAUAACAACAUUCCUGCUCUGAGGAGCUCCCGGGAAGAGCACAUAAGCCGACCGAAGCCCCUGUGCCUGGCGCCGAACGUGCUCUCAACCCACACCCGGCUCCUGACACGCCCUCAACCCACUCGCUGGCAGGGUCAAGCCACCCCCGAGUCUGCCUCAGCAGAGUCCCCAAACCUGAAGCUGGCAGAUUUGAGGCUAAAAAACUAAAGACAGAGCUCCAGGCCGGAGGCCAACUGUCCUUCCCCAGGAACGAGAAGAGGUCUGUGGUCCGGAUGAGCAGAACAAGGGCCGGAGGCCCCUUGCAGGGAGCGGAGCGGACAGAGGUUCUGUUGGAGCCGCAGCUCAGAGCCCCUGAGGGACCCCCUACUCUGGGGCCCUGGCCCUUACCACAGAGCCUUGUGUGUGUUAGGACCGCCUGCCCAAGACCGGCAGAGCCAGGGAAUCUGCAUGUUUAACAUGGCCUCAGAUUCCACGUGGGGUGGGUUAUGGUGGGGGAGACCAGAGAGGAAUCCUUGCUUCACAGUUCGAAGUCGGAAGACAACGUUAGUGCUACACAGCCGGGGAGCAGCAAGCCCUGCUUGUCAUGCAGAGACCCGGGGCUGCGUUUCGGGAAUCAGGGGAGAGAAGUCUAAACGGGGCUGUCUCCAGGGAGAACGAUGGAUGAGAAGGUGGGGCCGCUCUUGUUUGUAGCAGCCUUGUAAAACUGGCAUUUUUGUUUUUGAGACAGAGUCUCGCUCUGUUGCCCAGGCUGGAGUGCAGUGGUGUAAUCUCAGCUCAUUGUAACCUCUGCCUCCUGGGUUCAAGUGAUUCUCCUGCCUCAGCCUCCCGAGUAGCUGGGAUUACAGGCACCUGCCACCACACCCGGCUAAUUUUUGUAUUUUUAGUAGAGACGGGGUUUCACUAAGGGAGGAGACCACUCCUCAUAUUGUCUUAUGCCCGAUUUCUGCCUCCAAAGAAAGAAAAAAAAAAAACUAAAAGGCAGAAAUGAAAUCCACAAGCAGACAGCCCGGCGCCGUGUCCUGGGCCUCGUAGUUAAAGAUUGACCCCUGACCUAAUCGGUUAUGUUAUCUAUAGAUUACAGACAUUGUAUGGAAAAGCACUGUGACAAUCCCUGUCCUGUUCUGUUCUGUUCUAACUACCGGAGCAUGCAGCCCCCAGUCACGUACCCACUGCUUGCUCAAUCGAUCACGACCCUCUCAUGCACACCCCCUUAGAGUUGUGAGCCCUUAAAAGGGACAGGAAUUGCUCACUCGGGGAGCUCAGCUCUUGAGACAGGAGUCUUGCUGACGCCCCCAGCCGAAUAAACCCCUUCCUUCUUUAACUCAGUGUCUGAGGAGUUUUGUCUGCGGCUUGUCCUGCUACAUCACUGUGUUGGCCAGACUGGUCUCGAACUCCUGACCUCAAGUGAUCCCCCUGCCUCGGCCUCCCAAAGUGCUGGGAUUACAGGCGUGAGCCACACGCCUGGCCGUAAAACUGGCUUUUUAAGCCACAUGGAUGUUUACUUUUGAUAAAACUAGAGCCAUUAAAAAAUGCGGUGUGCGUCCCCCAGGCUGUGAGUCCCUCGCCAUGACCGCCCCUGCGCGGUGGUUCCUGGCUUGAGAUGUCAGGCGGUCCAGUUCGAGGUAGAGGAGGGUAAAGACGGCUUUCACCUUCCCCAAAUCUGGAGAUCCUGGCGAGCCUCAGGGCCUUGCGAGCCUCCACCAUGGGGGAGGAUGGGGAUGGAGAACGAGGUUGGAUCUCCCAUGUCUGGAAGUGAUAGGCCAUAGUUUUAUAUUUUUUGCUCGUAUAUUAUACUGUGAGCUCUCGCUUUCAGACGACAGAGUUCCAGCCACCUUCUCCAUUUCCGGAGCAGCUCCGGGAGCUCCUCAGAGCAGGAAUAUUGUUACCUCCAGUUCAGACUCAGGAACCGCGGCGUCUCCUCCUAGGUCUGUGGAUAGCGGAGAUGGACCCAGCCUUGCGCCUGUUGCAGCCUGUGGAGCUCGAGCUCACUGUGGUUUCUCCCCCUUCUGGCUGAGAUUGUGCUGCUGCACUGCAGCCUGGGUGACAGAGGGAGACCCUGUCACAAAAAGAGAAAAAAAAAAGGAAGGAAGGAACGCAGUUCCUGUGAUCACGCCGUUUUCUGCUUUUAG